UGGGGAAUCUUGCGCAAUGGGCGAAAGCCUGACGCAGCAACGCCGCGUGAGGGACGAAGUCCUUCGGGAUGUAAACCUCUUUUAGGAGGGACGAAAUGGUCCGUAAGGACAGCUGACGGUACCUCCAGAAAAAGCACCGGCUAACUCCGUGCCAGCAGCCGCGGUAAUACGGAGGGUGCAAGCGUUAUCCGGAAUCACUAGGCAUAAAGGGCACGUAGGCGUUUCUGUAAGUCGGUUGUGAAAGUCUUUUGCUUAACGGAAGAAAGUCAAUCGAUACUGCAGGGAUUGAGAGUAAGAGAGGAGAGCGGAAUUCCUAGAGGAGCGGUGAAAUGCGUAGAUUUUAGGAAGAACACCCAUGGCGAAGGCAGCUCUCUGGAUUAUUUCUGACGCUGAGGUGCGAAAGCGUGGGUAGCAAACGGGAUUAGAUACCCCGGUAGUCCACGCCUUAAACGUUGGAAACUAGGUGUUGGUCAUUUGACCGGCGCCGCAGUAAACGCGAUAAGUUUCCCGCCUGGGGAGUACGGUCGCAAGGCUG
rnacentral:rRNA from 1 species